rnacentral:rRNA from 1 species
CCCCUAGAUGUUCUGGGCCGCACGCGCGCUACACUGAACAGUUCAACAAGUCUUAACCUUGGCCGAUAGGUCUGGGUAAUCUUUGAACGCUGUUCGUGAUUGGGAUAGACCUUUGCAAUUAUGGGUCUUCAACGAGGAAUUCCUAGUAAACGCAAGUCAUCAGCUUGCAUUGAUUACGUCCCUGCCCUUUGUACACACCGCCCGUCGCACCUACCGAUUGAAUGGUCCGGUGAAAUCUCGGGACGGCGGCUUGGUCGCUUGCGUCCGACUGCUGAAACUUGAUUAAACCAUAUCAUUUAGAGGAAGGUGAANUCGUAUCA